UACGUAGGGUGCGAGCGUUGUCCGGAAUUAUUGGGCGUAAAGAGCUCGUAGGCGGCUCAGAAAGUCGGGUGUGAAACCUCCAGGCUCAACCUGGAGACGCCACCUGAUACUGCUGUGGCUAGAGUCCGGUAGGGGAACACGGAAUUCCCGGUGUAGCGGUGAAAUGCUUAGAUAUCUGGAGGAACACCGGUGGCGAAGGCGGCAUCCUGGACCGGUAUUGACGCUGAGGCGCGAAAAGCCAGGGGAGCAAACGGG
rnacentral:rRNA from 1 species